UAUUUCUGUCGCUUCACCUGAUUUUAUGACUGCACCAGAUACCUACUUAGGCAAUGUGAUGCAAGUAGGACAAAGAUAAAUUUGAUAUGCAGAGUAAACAUAAUGUCAUGUCCUCCUAUGAAGAUUUAUUUAGAUCUAACAGCAUGUCAAUAUUUUAUCUACCGUGCAUAAUUCACGUGCUUUUGUAUUCAUAGGAUUGCCAUCAAUGGUUCUCGUACUUUGGGUUCUGACCAGAUUUCUCUAUGAUGACAGAGGCUGUUGGGAUGACAAUGACAACGUUGGCAUUUGGUGGAUCAUUAAAGGACCAAUAACAGGCUCGCUGCUGRUCAACAUAGUCAUCUUCAUAAACGUUAUCCGGAUUCUGGUCCAAAAGCUUAAAUCUUCAGCCAUGGCUGGAAACAGYGACACUGGUCACUUCAUGUAAGUCUCAACAGAGCAGCACAGCAUAUUAAGCUUGAACACAGACUCUAAAGACACAACAUGAAAUCAUUUCCUCAGGAACAGGAUUAUCAAGGUUAGGAGAUUAGURGAGCUCUGCCCUUCAAAGAAGCUAUUAAAAUCAACAAAGUAUGAGCCUGUAAAAGCUGCUUUUUUUAUUUUAUAGGAUAUAUAGAUACAUUUUACUCUUGAUUAAAAAACUGCUAUGUAAGCCAUGCAACAAGGGAACAAUGUAAAAAUCCUUUCACAAAAUGAAUGGCCUCUUUCUGUGUAAAAUGCUUCAUUCAGUAUAACACAGAACCCAGAAAUACUGCUUCACCUGAAUCACUGUAUUUUCUGUAUUARCAGUUUGACUAGGGCAGAUUUUUGCUGAGCUGAAUUCAUCUCAAAAGAGAGCAAACAAAAAUAGAAUCUAGACACUAGAAAUAGACGUCUCUUUCAUCGCUGUGCAACAGAAUUGUCCCACCCAUUCAAUGAAUGUUUUACAUGCUCAAAAGCUUCAUUUCUGCCUUGCAAAUUUCAGCCUU